rnacentral:rRNA from 1 species
CCUACGGGUGGCUGCAGUGGGGAAUAUUGGACAAUGGGCGAAAGCCUGAUCCAGCCAUGCCGCGUGUGUGAAGAAGGCCUUCGGGUUGUAAAGCACUUUCAGUGGGGAAGAAAGCCUUGGGGCUAAUACCCUCGAGGAAGGACAUCACCCACAGAAGAAGCACCGGCUAACUCCGUGCCAGCAGCCGCGGUAAUACGGAGGGUGCGAGCGUUAAUCGGAAUUGCUGGGCGUAAAGCGCGCGUAGGCGGUCUGAUAAGCCGGUUGUGAAAGCCCCGGGCUCAACCUGGGAACGGCAUCCGGAACUGUCAGGCUAGAGUGCAGGAGAGGAAGGUAGAAUUCCCGGUGUAGCGGUGAAAUGCGUAGAGAUCGGGAGGAAUACCAGUGGCGAAGGCGGCCUUCUGGACUGACACUGACGCUGAGGUGCGAAAGCGUGGGUAGCAAACAGGAUUAGAUACCUUGUAGUC